rnacentral:rRNA from 1 species
GAUGAACGCUGGCGGCGUGCCUAAUACAUGCAAGUCGAGCGAACAGACGAGGAGCUUGCUCCUCUGACGUUAGCGGCGGACGGGUGAGUAACACGUGGAUAACCUACCUAUAAGACUGGGAUAACUUCGGGAAACCGGAGCUAAUACCGGAUAAUAUAUUGAACCGCAUGGUUCAAUAGUGAAAGACGGUUUUGCUGUCACUUAUAGAUGGAUCCGCGCCGCAUUAGCUAGUUGGUAAGGUAACGGCUUACCAAGGCGACGAUGCGUAGCCGACCUGAGAGGGUGAUCGGCCACACUGGAACUGAGACACGGUCCAGACUCCUACGGGAGGCAGCAGUAGGGAAUCUUCCGCAAUGGGCCAAAGCCUGACGGAGCAACGCCGCGUGAGUGAUGAAGGUCUUCGGAUCGUAAAACUCUGUUAUUAGGGAAGAACAAAUGUGUAAGUAACUAUGCACGUCUUGACGGUACCUAAUCUGAAAGCCACGGCUAACUACGUG